GGCAAGAUGCAAAUGGUGGUGGGGAGGGGGGAAAACCGAGAGAGAGAAAGCCCAAGGGGCAGUCGUGGGGAGCCGGAGACCCGGGCCAGGAGCGGGGCUUGCCAGGGCCUAUUGUACUCACGCUGCGGGGCUGAAGACCUUCUUUUGCGGGUUCUGUUUAUCAGCUAAACUUUAGCUGACCUUUGGACUUGUUAAAGCAAGUGGCUUCUAGCCUAGGUGCGGGGAUUUUUCCACUGGCCUGAAAGAAGAAACUGCGCUUCUGGGGUUCAGAUGAGAGCGGGAGAAAAUCGAAGUGCUCUUGGAAAAAGAUGGAGGAGGAUGCGAAAAGUACAGAACUUCCAAGGCGUGCACAGGUGGACUGUGGGCCGCGAUAGCGUGGGCAAGGGUGAAGGAGUUACCGACUGAUUUAUGACCAGAGGGAGUAGCCGAAGCGGAGGUCCCCGUAGCAGCCAGAGCUGGACGCCUGGGUGCCGACCUCCUGUUUAUAACCGGAAUAUCAAAGCGCCUCCACUUUGGCAGCAAAACUAGGACGUUCCAGGACCCUCGCAGCACACGCCCACGGCCUGAGACACGUUGUGCAACUGCAAGGUCACUGCUCUAGUGCAUGCCAAGCGGAGAAGGCACCGACAAAAUCACUGAAGGAAAGAGGUUUUCCCCACCCAGACCUGGCCGGGAAGGAAGCCCUGGGCCCCUCAGCACUGCAAGAGUUUCUACCGCAACUCCCCUGGGGCGCCGAGGGGGAGGAAGGAGGCACCCAACUCACCCAAACCUACAGGCUGGGACCUGACUUGCAGAACCGGGGAAGGGGCUCCUGAGGGUCCAGCAUUCACUGACUCCUGGGGCAGAGGACACUUGCCUUGGACCCACAGUUUCCUUAUCUGUGAAAAAAGCUCCUGAUAGGUGCAGGGCAGCAGAGUUGUAUACAUUCAAUAAGACCACCUCGUUCUAAAAAUAGUGUGCACACUUUCCAGUCUGGGAAGGCAGUAGGCCAGUGAAACUCUAGCACUUCUGGAAGCUUAGAGUUCUAAGAAUUGGGGAGAGCUACAGUGGGGAUGGGAAGGACUGAGCAAUUAGGGACAAAAAUUAAGCAUCAGCAGGAAAAUUGCAAAGGAGCUUCCAAAUAUAUUCUCCUUUCUCUCCCACCUUCAAAGAUAAUUAGGAGAAACUUGAAUUUAAGCUAGGGAUAAGAGAGGAAUUUUAGCACGGAUGAGGAAGGGUCCAGCAACCUUCCAAACAGGUACAGAAUCAAACAUCCUGAGUGUAUGAAAGCUGAUGAUGUGGUUGAUCCAACUCAGGGUGUUAAGGGGGUGAGGAUGCCUUUUUAAAAUACAAAGUGGACAACAGAUGCCUGGGCCACCUGUCUUGGGAGCCAGGAAGAAAAGAGGUAGUCGUGUGCAUAGACCCCUGGGGAAGGUUUACACCUAUCUCAGUCCCUCUUCCCUGAGAAAGGGGUAAUAAGUCCACAGGAAUGAGGGCCCUUCAUUCCACCUCGUUUUCUAGCUUAUUGUGACAUAUAGCAGAUGCUUGUCUACUGUAAUGUUCUCUGUCUCCCCAGCUCCUCUCAGGCAGGAUGACAUGUUCAGAGUAAAUGUCCUUGGAGGACAAUCUCUCUCUCUCUCUCUCUCUCUCUCUCUCUCUCUCUCUCUCUCAUUAUAGAAGCAUCAAGUGUAAUGUAGAUGAGUUUCUUCCCCCACCCUCUUUCUCUUUUUUGUGGUACCAGGGAUCGAACUCAGGACCUUGCACUUUCGAGCCAGGCAGCAUCGGCACCACUGAGCUAAAUCCUGGGCCAAUCAGUUUCUCUUUUAACAACACAGCUUUGUUUUGUAGUUCUAACUACUGAGUAACCCCUUGGACUUCCAAGCCUCCUUUUCUCUCAAAAUUCAGGGACCGACAAUCCCAUUCUUCCCAAAACCUCAGCCACCCAAAUAAAGGUACAGAAAUUACACACAGAAUACAGUUGACAAUUCCUAUGAGUGUCCAGUUAUGUCUUCCAAGUAAUCUUGCCAUUCAUAUUCAGAAACUUCCUGUAAUCCCCUUCCCCAUACCUACCUUGUGUUUGUCACUCGGUGCUAUAGUAGGUGGUCAUCAAGUAGUCACAAUGACUGUGAACAGAUUCAGUAUCUACCCUAAAGAUAUCUUAAAAAGAAUAAGUAACUAACAGUGCAUCCUUUAGGGUGUAGGUCUUGGAUAUUAGCAUCUAAAUGAGUUAAUUCUUGAAACUCCUCAGUGAAACCUCCUUCUCCAAUAGAGGAAGACUUAGUAUGUCUGCAAUAAUCUUUGCUUACACUACACAUGGGAUAAACUGAGGAUAGAUUGAGGUAGUAGCCUCAUGUUAAAGAUGGGAAAAUAAGCGGGGCACUGUAGUUAGGGAGGCUGAGGCAGGAAAAUCAUUCUGGACAACUUAACCACACUCUGUCUCAAAAUAAAAUGAAAAGUGCUAGGAAUGUAGCUCAGUGGUAGAAUGUUUGCCUAGCAUGCAUGGAGAGUCCACAGAGAGGUUGCUUGUAGCCACUGGAGUAAGUUAAUGGGAGUGCUAUUUGGAGCCGGGCUUUAGGAUGAAAGAGGAGGGUCCCUAGCUUUCAUUGUGCUGGGAGGUGAGAGUUGAAAGGGAGAUUCUUUGGGGGCAGGGGGAGAAUACACAGUUGAAAACAGAGGGCAGGCUGGCUUUGGAGUCAAGCAGACCUAAAUGUGCUAAAGGAUAAUGAUGGUGUAUUGUGUUUUUGUGAAAAUCAAAUGCAUUAGCAAUUGCAAGUUCCUGGAGUAUGGCAGGCUCUUAUAUAUUUAGAAAAAAAAAGACACCAUGAAAUCAUGCUGCGUAGUGAGGCAACUAACUCAUCUCUUUGGGCUUUUAUAUUCCCAAGUUGUUUUCAAGAGUUACUGAAUUUGAAGAGACAGUAUUAGGCACUUCUACCAAUGAAUUUGGAGUCAGAUUCCAAGAUUUUCUAAGGGAGAUGUGGUCCCCGGUAUGAAAUCAUUUGAAAUCCAUUUGGCAUAUCACUUUAUGAAGGUUUUCCAAGCAUCAUGUUGGUAAUUUUACCAAAUGGUGAACUCACUUCCUCUGUAAUUUAUUUUCUUCAGUUGCUUACACAGUCUCCCCUCCUACCACCGUUACCACUUUCCAUGUUUAACUUUCUUUGUUUACAGAAGGGAGACCCUGCCUGGUCUUUCCAACCUCGGCUGUUCCACUCUCUAAGGCUUCCCAUCGAUUUGGCAGUGACUAGCAGGGCUCCAAGUGCAAUUAUCUCUAGAAUAAAACAUAAAUAUCAUUCUAUUCUGGUCUGAAGGUGAUUGGAGAGCUUACUGAUAGGAAAAAGUGUUGAAACCCAUAGAAUAUUCUAGACUCCAAGGUCAGGAGCCUGAGAUUCUAAUUCUGGCUAUAAUACUCCUUUCUGGAUGAUUCUUCACCUACCAAAGGCUUUGGUGAGCACCUCCUCCGGGCCUCUGAUUUUGGUUUUGCAAAAUGACCAGUUGGUUUGGACAAGCAUUUAAGGCCUCGAACUUUCCUAUUAUUUGAAAUGACUAAAAGGUCUUAAAUUACUGGGGUUCCCACUUCCAGGUCUUUGGCCAGAUGGUCCAAGAGCUCAGGACAAAUCUCUGAGUAGUGGUGGACAUGAGAUAUUUGACUAGCCCAUGAAAAAAUACACUACAGACUGUAAAGGUGCACAAGGGCUAGGGACCUUCUCAUGUCUUGCUCUACAGUGCCCGGAGUGGUGCUGAUAUACAGUAGAUGCUUAACAAAAUACUUGUUGAAUAAAUGAAGAAGUGAAUACUCUGGAUUAUACUGUUAAGGAUGAUUUUUUUGUUUCCUUAUUUAUACUUGUCAGAUUUUCUCAAUUGUCAGCAGUGAAAUUCUAGUCUAAAAAUAAUAUUUUUCCCCAGACACAAAAGGAUAUGUACCAUGUGAUCGCAUUCAUAGGAAUUUUAAAAGAAGGAAGAGUAAUCUACAGUGGUAGAAGUUUCUGGAGUGCUAGAAAGGUUCUUAGUUUUAAUCAGGAUGGGGGAUAUGUCGAGUCUUUACAUGUAGGAUUUGUGGAUAUUGCUGCAUGUAAGCUAUAACUUAGUAAAAGUAAUUUUAAAACAAGUCCAAAGUAUAAAAUGUAAGCAGCAGAAGUCACCUUCUCACACCUUCAACUGUUUACAGUUAAUACAUGGCCCUCCAGAAUCUUUUCUAUUCACCACAUAUAAUUGAUUGCCGUUAAAAUCUAUGCACUAGUAUAUCCCAGGAACCAGCAAACUUUUUUCUGUAAAGGGGCUAGAUAAUAAAUAUUUUAGGCUUUGUGGGCCAGAAAAUCUCUGUGCCAACUAUUCACUUUGCUAUUGUAGACAAUACAAAAAUGUGUGUGGCUGUAUUCCAAUAAAACUUUAUGGAUAAAAACA